AUUAUUGCGCCAUGUAUGAAACUGUGUCGCACUGUCGCCGCGUGAUCGAUGCCGUUCUUCGGAUCGUAAAGCUCGGUUCUUGGGGCAGUAGACCGAAAGAGUUGACGGUACCUGAGGAGGAAGCCCCGGUUAACGACGUGCCAGCAGCCGCGGUAAUACGUAGGGGGCAAGCGUUGUCAGGAAUUAUUGGGCGUAAAGGGUGCGUAGGCGGCUUUUUAAGUCAGAUGUGAAAGAACACGGCUUAACCGUGGGGUGGCAUUUGAAACUGGAAGGCUUGAGUAUCGGAGAGGGUAGUGGAAUUCCCAGUGUAGAAGUGAAAUGCGUAGAUAUUGGGAGGAACACCAGUGGCGAAGGCGACUACCUGGACGAAAACUGACGCUGAUGCACGAAAGCUAGGGGAGCAAACAG
rnacentral:rRNA from 1 species